UAGUACUCUUUAAUUUACACACUAUUUAGUUGAAUUCAAAGAUAGUUUGCAGAAUAUGAAAUUAAUAAUCUAAGGCGAAAAGCAAGAUAAAAACGUAUUCACACCACAAAUAGAUUAUAUUUUGAUUAAGUUCCAGGAAUUGACAAUUGCUUUUGCUGUAAAAUGAAAAAAAGGAGUGCAAAGAAAUCCAGCAAACCACAUUUCACGGUCAAAGACUUCAUCUGUGUAGCAGGAGAGAAUUCAUUUCGCCGGGCAAUUUUGUGCACGCAGCUGCAAAAUGCGACUUAAGCAAAAUAAACAUGGGAAAAUUGCAAUGGAGAACAGAGAAUAGAGAAUGGAAAUGCGAAUAUGAAUGGGAAUGAGAAUGGGAAACGUGACCACCGACAACUGAUGAGACUUGGCGACAAUUGCAUCCAUUUGAUAAGGCCAGAGAAGAGAAGAUGCCGCCACGAUUAAGUAGAGCUGAACUCCAUCUCAUCUCAUCUGCAAUAUGCCUCAAUUAUGAGCCUCAAGUCGCCGACAGGUGGGUGGCGGAACCAUUCGCUAGGCGCCACAUCAAGGCACAAUGACGGAGCCAAGCAACGAUGACUGAAAUCGAAAACGAAAACGACAUGCAAAGCAGACGCUCUGAAUUGCACUCAAAAUGCAGUGGGCGUGGGGCCAUUGAAUGAAAGCACACUUGUGGCCGAAAAUAUUGAUCCAAUUGAUUGAGAAUUUUUGGAUUAGCGAAUUUUUAUAAAUCCAAAUAUUAUCUAAAAAAAACAAUUUCAAUAAUUCACCAAAACUGAGUUCGAUUUAUCAAAUUGAAAUCCAAUAAUUUGUCAAUCACCAUUGAACGCUUCAGUUGCUUAUCGCUUAACUGGAUCCGAUAUUAUCACAAACGCAAUUCAUAACAUUAAAAUGUGAAAAUGCCUUGGACUUCCAAUUUAACACCCACUGUAAACGUCAGUGUACAAAUUAUUGCCCACCGACGACUAAUGAAAAAUAUUUGUACUUGUGUUCUUGCUAUAUGCGUGGGGUACUUCAAAAAUAAUGCACUUGCAUACGAAAGAACUUCUUUAGAUUAUAAAACAAAUAGAAUAGUCUUCAAAAAGUUAUUUAUAAAUAAAAUAAAAACAAAUCGUUCCAAAAGAUUAAAGUUGAACUUUAAUUCUGAGUGUAAAAAUUUAAGAUUUUGUCCACUGUCUUAUAUAAAUUAAUUUAAAAACCAAAAAGACAUACAUUAUUGAUAAAUAAUUAUAUGUUUUCACUAUUAACACAAGCUAUUAUUUUUUCAUAUUACAACACUGUAUUUACAUUUAGAUAAAUUUACAAGAACCUAUGAAGCAACCCACAAGUUCGAUUUGACCUCAUUAUUCGAUUUAUGACCGCGCACAGUUUAAAAUGAAUAAGUUUAACAAAACCAUAAUUCUUGCGAUUACAAAACGGGAUUUCAGUUAAAUUGGUGAAGGCAUCAAAAAAUUAAUUUCAUCGAAAAUUUGCUUAAAUUGAAUGUUUUUAGAGAGCGAUUACUUAUCAGGCGCCCCACGUACGUACUUUGCUUUAGCUGUCACUGUAUUGCUGUCUUGCUGUUGCUGUUGCUGUUGCUGUAUGUUUACUUCACUCUUGUUGGCCCGGCUCGGUCUAGAAAUUUUGCUUCGGACUGGCGCUGGCACUGGCACUGGCACUGGCACUGGUACUGAACAACAC